AACCGUGCAGUGAGCACAAAACGAACUAUUCUUUUGCCUUUUAUUGAAGUAUAUUGUGUGCUCGCUGCUUAUAGAGGCAUACUCCAAUUUUUUGAAGGAGCCUACUCAAAUUGGCUCC